rnacentral:rRNA from 1 species
GACGAACGCUGGCGGCGUGCCUAACACAUGCAAGUCGAGCGAGUGAAUCUCCUUCGGGGGUGAAGCUAGCGGCGGACGGGUGAGUAACACGUGGGCAACCUGCCUCAUAGAGGGGAAUAGCCUUUCGAAAGGAAGAUUAAUACCGCAUAAGAUUGUAGCUUCGCAUGAAGUAGCAAUUAAAGGAGCAAUCCGCUAUGAGAUGGGCCCGCGGCGCAUUAGCUAGUUGGUGAGGUAACGGCUCACCAAGGCGACGAUGCGUAGCCGACCUGAGAGGGUGAUCGGCCACAUUGGGACUGAGACACGGCCCAGACUCCUACGGGAGGCAGCAGUGGGGAAUAUUGCACAAUGGGGGAAACCCUGAUGCAGCAACGCCGCGUGAGUGAUGACGGCCUUCGGGUUGUAAAGCUCUGUCUUCAGGGACGAUAAUGACGGUACCUGAGGAGGAAGCCACGGCUAACUACGUG